GCGGUAAUUCCAGCUCCAAUAGCGUAUAUGUAAAUUGUUGCGGUUGAAAAGCUCGUAGUUGGACUUCUGGCGACUGCGUUCGGUCCGCCAAGCGCGUGCACUGUCCGCGGUCGUCGUUUCUGUCGACGUGGCGCGUCGGCCUUAGUUGGUCGGUGCGUCGUCUGUCGGCGAUGUUACUUUGAGGAAAUCAGAGUGCUCAAGGCAAGCGUUCGCUCGUGACUUCACUAGCAUGGAAUAACACAGAUGGGCUCUUUCUCGCACUGUUGGUCUGCGUCAAUUGAGCAACGAUCGAUAGAGACGGUCGGGGGCAUUCGUAUUGCGCAGUUAGAGGUGAAAUUCUCCGAUCUGCGCAAGACGCACUAAUGCGAAAGCAGUUGCCAAGGACGUCCUCUUAUGAUCAAGAGCGAAAGUCGGGGGAUCAAAGAUGAUUAGAUACCGUCGUAGUCCCGACCAUAAAUGAUGCCGACUGAGCUUCGGCGACUCGACCUCAGGUCGUACGUCGGCGCUCUUAGAGAAAUUAAAGUCUUUGGGCUCCGGGGGUAGUAUGGUCGCAAGUCUGAAACUUGAAGGAAUUGACGGAAGGGCACCACAAGGCGUGGAUGUUGCGGCUUAAUUUGACUCAACACGGGAAAGCUUACUAGGUUUGGACACCUUUGUGAUGGACAGAUUGAAGCUCUUACCCUACUGCGUGGAUGGUGGUGCAUGGUCGUUCUCAGCCCGUGGGUUGACCUGUCAGGUUUACUCCGGUAACGCGCGAGACCUCGGUCUGCUAAAUAGACGCGGCUGUUUCGGCACCCGCGCUCUUCUUAGAGAGAGACUCGACGAGAGUCGAGGGAAGUCGAGGCAAUAACAGAUCUGUGAUGCCCUUAGUUAUCCUAGGUCGCACGCGCCAUACAAUGUGGUGCACAACGAGUCUCCUUGGCCGACAGGAUCUGGGCAAUCUGGCAGAGCGCUACGUGACUGGGCUAGACUUUUGUAAUUUUUGGUCUUGAACGAGGAAUGCCUAGUAAUCGCAGGUCAGCAUCCUGCGAUGAUUCGGUCCCUGCCCUUUGUACACACCGCCCGUCGCUCCAUCCGUGGCAUGCGCCGGUGAAGAGGGGGAGGCAGCGUCGGCCGGGUAACACCGGAUCGUACGUGGAACCCCUCUGAACCUUCGCACGUAGAGGAAGGAGAAGUCGUAACAAGGUUUUCGUAGGUGAACCUGCGAAAGGAUCAUUAUCGGCAC
rnacentral:rRNA from 1 species